GGAGAUGUGGUUCAGUAGUGGAACAUCUGCCUAGCAAACACAAGGUCCUGAGUUCAAACCUCAGUACUGCUU
rnacentral:tRNA from 1 species